GACGAACGCUGGCAGCGUGCUUAACACAUGCAAGUCGAACGGAAAGGCCCUGCUUGCAGGGUACUCGAGUGGCGAACGGGUGAGUAACACGUGGGUGAUCUGCCCUGCACUUCGGGAUAAGCCUGGGAAACUGGGUCUAAUACCGGAUAGGAGCCAUUUUUAGUGUGAUGGUUGGAAAGUUUUUUCGGUGUAGGAUGAGCUCGCGGCUUAUCAGCUUGUUGGUGGGGUAAUGGCCUACCAAGGCGGCGACGGGUAGCCGGCCUGAGAGGGUGGACGGCCACAUUGGGACUGAGAUACGGCCCAGACUCCUACGGGAGGCAGCAGUGGGGAAUAUUGCACAAUGGGCGCAAGCCUGAUGCAGCGACGCCGCGUGGGGGAUGACGGCCUUCGGGUUGUAAACUCCUUUCGCUAGGGACGAAGCUUUUUGUGACGGUACCUAGAUAAGAAGCACCGGCUAACUACGUG
rnacentral:rRNA from 1 species